UACGUAUGGUCCGAGCGUUGUCCGGAAUUAUUGGGCGUAAAGGGCUCGUAGGCGGUCCGUCACGUCGGGUGUGAAAACUCAGGGCUCAACCCUGAGCGUGCUUCCGAUACGGGCGGACUAGAGGUAUGCAGGGGAGAACGGAAUUCCUGGUGUAGCGGUGGAAUGCGCAGAUAUCAGGAGGAACACCGGUGGCGAAGGCGGUUCUCUGGGCAUUACCUGACGCUGAGGAGCGAAAGCAUGGGGAGCGAACAGG
rnacentral:rRNA from 1 species